rnacentral:rRNA from 1 species
UGGGGAAUAUUGGACAAUGGGGGCAACCCUGAUCCAGCCAUGCCGCGUGAGUGAUGAAGGCCUUCGGGUUGUAAAGCUCUUUUGGCGGGGACGAUGAUGACGGUACCCGCAGAAUAAGCCCCGGCUAACUUCGUGCCAGCAGCCGCGGUAAGACGAAGGGGGCUAGCGUUGUUCGGAAUUACUGGGAGUAAAGCGAGUGUAGGCGGUUGCCGUAGUCAGGUGUGAAAGCCUUGAGCUCAACUCAAGAAAUGCACUUGAUACUGGGUGACUAGAGGACCGGAGAGGAUAGUCGGAAUUCCCAGUGUAGUGGUGAAAUACGUAGAGAUUGGGAAGAACACCAGUGGCGAAGGCGGCUAUCUGGACGGUUACUGACGCUAAGACUCGAAAGCGUGGGGGAGCAAAACAGGAUUAGAUACCCUGGUAGUCCACGCCGUAAAACGAUGGGUGCUAGACGUUGGCGAGCUUGCUCGUCAGUGUCGCAGCU